AUUGAACGCUGGCGGCAUGCCUUACACAUGCAAGUCGAACGGCAGCACGGGUGCUUGCACCUGGUGGCGAGUGGCGAACGGGUGAGUAAUACAUCGGAACAUGUCCUGUAGUGGGGGAUAGCCCGGCGAAAGCCGGAUUAAUACCGCAUACGAUCUACGGAUGAAAGCGGGGGACCUUCGGGCCUCGCGCUAUAGGGUUGGCCGAUGGCUGAUUAGCUAGUUGGUGGGGUAAAGGCCUACCAAGGCGACGAUCAGUAGCUGGUCUGAGAGGACGACCAGCCACACUGGGACUGAAACACGGCCCAGACUCCUACGGGAGGCAGCAGUGGGGAAUUUUGGACAAUGGGCGAAAGCCUGAUCCAGCAAUGCCGCGUGUGUGAAGAAGGCCUUCGGGUUGUAAAGCACUUUUGUCCGGAAAGAAAUCCUUGGCUCUAAUACAGUCGGGGGAUGACGGUACCGGAAGAAUAAGCACCGGCUAACUACGUG
rnacentral:rRNA from 1 species